rnacentral:tRNA from 1 species
GGCUUUGUGGCCUAAUGGUCAAGGCGUGUGACUUCUAAUCACAAGACUGCGGGUUCGAGUCCCGCCUGAGCCU